GCGAUAACAGAAGCGUUUCGCACACCCGUCCCUCUCAAAGGAGUUGCGGACGCUCACCACUGAGUCGAGGCUGUGAGUUCGUUGCCUCGGCCUUGAAUUAGCUUCUAAAUGUACGCGCGCGUACAAGACUCCGGACGCACAUGAGCGGGCCAUGCUUGUCAUUGAGGGUACGAAUGGUCCACUCUUCAGAGUAGCUGAGUCGGCGGCCGCCAUCGCGUACUUGUCGACGCACUACCCUCAGUGCAAAAAGCGCGGCUCUGGGUGGCAUCUGAGUGUCGAAGAGGUCAGCCUGCUUCAAUCCCAGCUGCGGCGGGCCGACGGCGUACAUUUUGCGUCUGCGGACACAAAGGAGCAGUUUGAGGUACUCCGCAAGAGGUACGCACGGGACUGUGCCGUGUACGCCGCUCUCACCACAGACCACGGCUACAGGCUCCGCCACGGCAGCCAGUUUGGCGCUAACUACAUCGGCUACCAGGAUGUUGGGACGCACGGCGAGUGCCUGUUGUUCACCGGGCCGCUCGCUGAGCUUGAGCGAGUGCGGGCCGUGCGCAUCGCGCGAAGUGUGGGGAAGCGGGCGAUGCUGGUGACCGUGCAAGAGGGCGACAGCGGCUGCUCAUCCACCGUUACUGUGACGGACCUCAUGGCUGAUUCUCUCGCAGACCUCCGACGUCCGCACAAGUCAUGCCGAAAAGCGUAGGGGCGGCGCGUGAGGACUGCGCGGCGCACCAAGGCGUUUGCUCGAGCGCAUGUGUCGAUGCCGAGCACACACUCACUCGACUCCCCCCCCCCCAGACACAUACACACGGUGCAUGUGUCCUUGUGCAUCUUCCUAGCGCACACUAUGCUGGACUUUUCGAACCCGUUGGCUUCUGCACCUCCCUUCUUUGCUCUCCGCUCAUCCGCUGUGCGUUGGCUUGGUUCGUGGUGGUGGAGCGAUCCUCAGUGCUUUUUCCCCUCGCGAUGCCGCGGACUGUUACCUGCUAUGCAAUGGAACAUGACGCCUUUUACUUCUUGUCGGCGUGGUGCUCCUGUGCUGUGCGGCGGUAGCGGACGGGCUGGAGAUGACAGCGGUGAGAAAGACAAGGUCAGUGAUGCACUACUCGUGCUACUCUUCCUUAGCCUAGCGCACUUAAGAGCGACGCACAACACGCACAGCGUGACCAUGCUCACAGUGUUUUGAGCGGUGACCAAGCAACAUGGCCUGAACUCUUAAAUGUAGACUGCAUCGUGGCGGUAUUGGAUCCCCCCAGCCGCGGUGCACUCUGCACUCCCCCUUUGUGCGUUUACAAGGAAUGAACCCGUGCCCCUUUUCCGACUUCUCUGCCACCUCUCUCCACUCUCCUCUUACCCGCCUCCCUCACCCCCUCUCUGCCUUGCCUGACUUUUUAUGGCUUCGUUUUGCUCGUCUUGGCGGGGUGAUUCCACCCCUGGCCGCUCGCUGUACCGCUCACCUCCACCCCUCUCCUUCUCUCUCUGAUCCUUUCACAACGGGCGUCAUCGCCUGCAG
rnacentral:misc_RNA from 1 species